UCCAAGAAAUGAGGACUUAAAAGAAGUCAAAAGAAAGGGGUGAAAUAAAAGAAAAACUCCAAGAAAUAAGGAUUAAAAAACAUUGAAACAAAGGGGGUGUGGAAAAAAGAAGAAAAAACUCUGAAAAAUGAGAAUUCAAAAAAAGUCGAUAAAGGGGGAGGACAAUGAAGAGGAUCUAACGCCAAAGGCGUAUUAAUCAUUAAGGUCACAAAUUCAAUGUGACGCUCAAGGAGGAAUUAAGUCACUCUUAUCCCAAAUAAAUAUCUUACCCAUCCCUAAGCCUACGUUACAAAUCAACUCCCAAAUUUCCAGCAGUUUUAUGGCGAGCCAGCAGCUUCUCAUACAAAUACCCAAUAAAACAUCAGUUUCAAAGAACAUAAAGUGUUCAAGAGAAAAAUGACACUUUGUACAUAUUCUCUUGUGGAUCUUUCCUUAAAUUUUAUUAAUCAUGUUGCUAGCUAUAGUGAUAUUGUGUAUUCUAACUGUUCCUUUUCGAAUAAAAGGAAACACGGAGACAUCAAGAUGAUGACAUUUUCAAGACAUAUAAGUCAUCCACCUCGUAACAAUGGAAAAUCAUUGGGUCAUCCAUCAGUUACAUUUUCAUUGCUUUUUUUUCAUUUUUUAAAGGAUAAUUGCAUUUUUCAUUUGCCAAGAAGGUCAUUGCAUUUUUCAUUUCCCGAAAGAAUAAUUGCAUUUUUCAUUUGCCAAGAGGUCCAUUGAAAUUUUUAUUUACUGAAAAUGUCAUUACAUUUUUCAUUUUUCGAAAGGAUAAUUGCAUUUUUAUUUGCCAAGAGGGUCAUUGUAUUUUUUAUUUACCAAAAGUUCAUUACAUUUUUCAUUUUCUGAAAGAAUAAUUGCAUUAUUCAUUUGCCGAGAAGGAAUUUGCAUUUAAGUCGCACCUAUUCAGAGGUGAAGGAUGUGUGUCCUAUCUUUGCAACGUUCAAGUUGGUGGAAACUUGCAUUGAAACAUACUUCCAUUUAAGCCGUAUCUAUUCGAUGGUGAAGUAUGUGCACCCUAUCUUUUCAACGUUCAAGUCGGUGGAACUUGCGUUGAAAGAUGUUUGCAUCCAAGUCACAUAUAUUAUGAGGUGAAGGAUGUGAGUCCUAUAUUUUCAACGUUUUAGUUGGUGGAAACUUAUGUUGAAAGAUAUUUGUAUUUUAAGUCGCAUCUAUUCGGUGGUGAAGGAUGUGCAACCUAUCUUUUCAAUAUUCAAGUAGGUGGAACCUUGCGUUUAAAGAUAUUUGUAUUUAAGUCUUAUCUAUUCGGUGGUGAAGGACAUGCAACCUAUCUUUCAAACAUUCAAUUAGGUGGAAACUUGCGUUGAAAGAUAUUUGCAUUUAAGUCGCAACUAUUCGGUGGUGAAGGAUGUGCGCCCUAUCUUUUCAAUGUUCAGUUCGAUAGAAACAUGCAUUAAAAGAUAUUUGAUUUAAGUAGCAUCUAUUAGAUGGUGAAGGAUGUUCACCUUAUCUUUUCAACGUUAAAGUCGAUGGAAAUUUGCAUUGAAAGAUACUUGCAUUUAAGUCACAUCUAUUUGAAGGUGAUGGUGAUGUGCACCAUAUCUUUUCAACGUUCAAGUCGGUGGAAAAUUGCGUUGAAAGAUAUUUGCAUUUACAUUUAUUUGGUGCUGAAGGAUGUGCACCCUAUCUUUUGAUCAUUCAAGUCAGUGGAAACUUGUGUUGAAAGAUAAUUGCAUUAAAGUCACAUCUAUUUGGAGUUGAAGGAUUUGCACACUAUCUAUUCAAAGUCCAAGUCGGUGGAAACUUGCAUUGAAAGAUAUUUGAAUUUAAGUCGCAUUUAUUCUGAGAACAUCCAAGAGGAUGCAUACUCGGUGGAGCCAUAUGUGUGGACUACUUCAACAAGGAUGCAACACAAUUUGGAACCUUUUGGAUGCAAGUCUGGGAUCGACUUUCACCACAUUUUUAUAUAACGGGCAUGUGUUCGACCAAAAUUGGUUUUGUCACUUUUCGUUGUCCACAAUUACUAUUAUCAAUCAUAUUGAACGAAAGGGACAAUUGUUGACACCCAAUUUUGGCACAAUAUUAUCUCAAUUCAUGACUUAUAUACAUUUAAUAGUUCAGAAUA